UACGAAGGGGGCUAGCGUUGCUCGGAAUCACUGGGCGUAAAGCGCACGUAGGCGGAUCUUUAAGUCAGGGGUGAAAUCCCAAGGCUCAACCUUGGAACUGCCUUUGAUACUGGGGAUCUCGAGUCCGGAAGAGGUUGGUGGAACUGCGAGUGUAGAGGUGAAAUUCGUAGAUAUUCGCAAGAACACCAGCGGCGAAGGCGGCCAACUGGUCCGGUACUGACGCUGAGGUGCGAAAGCGUGGGGAGCAAACAGG
rnacentral:rRNA from 1 species